rnacentral:tRNA from 1 species
AAGGGAGACCUAAUUCAGGUAGGAGACGAAAAAAAAGUAGUCCCUACCAAGAAUCAAUCCCAAAAGGUCGGAGCGAGGCAAAAUUGGCUUUCAAACUAGGUUCUGGGUUCACACAAGACCUGAAUCAGGAACAAGGGCUAUUAGCUCAGGUGGUUAGAGCGCACCCCUGAUAAGGGUGAGGUCCCUGGUUCGAGUCCAGGAUGGCCCACCUGUACAGGUGGCAAAAAGAAAGAAAAGAAGCGAGGAAUCAGCACCUUAUCUUACUUAUAUAGUAAGAGAGAAUGCUGGCUCUGAGUUCAGAGUCCAGAGGAACCUUGAAAACUGCAUAGAGCUAGGUGAAAAAGCCAAAAAAGAAGACCGCAAGGUCAAGCUAAUAAGGGCUAACGGUGGAUACCUAGGCAC